ensembl:lncRNA
AGUAGUACUAGUGGUAUUAUGCUGCAGGAGAGGAAGGUACUGCAGGAGUACUAGUGGUAUUAUGCUGCAGGAGAUGAGGGUACUACAGUAGUACUAGUGGUAUUAUGCUGCAGGAGAUGAGGGUACUACAGUAGUACUAGUGGUAUUAUGCUGCAGGAGAGGAAGGUACUGCAGGAGUACUAGUGGUAUUAUGCUGCAGGAGAAGAGGGUACUGCAGUAGUACUAGUGGUAUUAUCCUGCAGGAGAUGAGGGUAGUACUAGUGGUAUUAUGCUGCAGGAGAGGAAGGUAUGCAGGACGUACUAGUGGUAUUAUGCUGCAGGAGAAGAGGGUACUGCAGUAGUACUAGUGGUAUUAUCCUGCAGGAGAUGAGGGUAGUACUAGUGGUAUUAUGCUGCAGGAGAGGAAGGUACUGCAGUAGUACUAGUGGUAUUGUGAUGCAGGAGAGGAGGGUGUUUUAGUAGUACUAGUGGUAUUAUACUGCACGAGAGGAAGGUACUGCAGUAGUACUAGUGGUAUUACGAUGCACGAGAGGAAGGUACUGCAGUAGUACUAGUAGUAUUGUGAUGCAGGAGAGGAGGGUGUUUUAGUAGUACUAGUGGUAUUACGAUGCACGAGAUGAGGGUACUGCAGUAGUACUAGUGGUAUUACGAUGCACGAGAGGAAGGUACUGCAGUAGUACUAGUGGUAUUACGAUGCACGAGAUGAGGGUACUGCAGUAGUACUAGUGGUAUUGUGAUGCAGGAGAGGAAGGAGUUUUAGUAGUACUAGUGGUAUUUUGAUGAAGGUCCACUUCCCCUAAGCUGCGUAGUUGUGAUGGACGGAGACGUCUACAAAGAAGCGUCUUCGAUGUCUUCACGUGUUGCAGUGAAACACGCCGACGACAAACCGUUCAGAGUGACGCUCGUUUAAUCGUGUGAUCUGCGUUUCUACGUCAUGAUCGUUAUUUCUCGUGAACUGCUGAAUGAUGCGUCACUUUUUAAAUAUUGGGACAGAAUUGUCUCCUUUCUUUUGGUGCAGUGGUUCCUAUGCUCAAGCAGCCAAGUAAGGAAGCA